UUCCAGGACCUGCAUUUAUACAAACCUGGCUGUCAGUAAAGAAUUCAGUCCUAGAAAAAAUGGUGUCAUGCGCAUCUCAAAUGCACAAGAAGUUGAAACUGAAGAGUAAGAAUUCUAAUAAGAAUAUUGUGAGAAACUUAAUGUUCUACUAUUUUUGUGCAAGCAUGAAGAACAGAAGAUUGUGGAACAGCCAAUAAUCUGUCAUCUCCUUUCAGUAGCCUGAAGUGUCUAUACCAUAUAAUGAAUGCUUUUAGAAUGCUAUAAAGUAACUAUUCUCUUUGUGACAUCUUACUCAGUAGCCCAAUACAAUACAGAGGUGCAAAUUUCUCUCUACUCUUAUUCAUAUCUGAGUCUGACAUGAAACAAAGAUUUUUUUUUUUUAAUUCCUUGUGGAAAAUAGCUGUGGAAACAGGCAGUUGUUUAAUAUUUUUGGAAGACUGGAUAUCCUGGGUCAUCUCAAAUAUGGCCAGUGGAAGUCUGUAAUCAAUACAGAGAGACAAGAACAGAGGUUAAUUUAAAUUAAUCUAAGUCAGACACCUAUCC
rnacentral:lncRNA from 1 species